AUAAAAUAAUGUGAAAGCUCGUAUAGUAUCGGAAAUAUGGUCCGAGAGUAUCUACCUACUAACCAUAAAUUAGUGGACUACGGGGUAUUGUGUAUUU
rnacentral:ncRNA from 1 species